rnacentral:lncRNA from 10 species
GCCAGGCCGGGCGCCGGGCGGGAGCCGAGGCCGCGGCGGACUCCGCAAUCCCGCAGCCGGUGACUGGAGCCCACCUCUGCAGAGACAAAGGAACUGCUCUGGUGAACUCCCCCUGAAAGUAAAUGUCCUUGGCUGGCCUCCAGCAUUCCCCUCAUGGGCAUAGCCAUGCAGCCUUCAGAACCUUCCUGAAAGAGCCCUCGGUCCCGCAGUCGGGCCCCGUCGCUGACUCUCCAGCUUCCGAGCCGCGGGCGGCGAGUCCAGGGCACACGGAGCGGCCGCGGGGGCGCCAGGCCGGUGUCGCCCGAGGCAGGCGGGCCCUCGGGGCGGCCCCUAGCGCCCGAGGGGAGCUGUUCUCCCCUCGCCUCUCUCCCUACUCACACCCACCCCUCCCCACACAUCCCCACACACACGCUUGCUCACAGCUUGUCGUGUUGUUUAAAACAGGUGGAAGACCUCUGUAAUGAUAUUAUGCCUUUCAAUAAAAAUUUUAUGAGGUGUAUUUGAUUAUAGAUUAAUGUGUCCCUAAUAAAACGGACGGAUGGAGCAGAUCGGAGGGCCCCCUCCCCCUGCCACACUCACACACGCCCGCGCGGCCACACACACCCCGACGUGAGGCUGGGCACACGCCGCGGCCCGAGGGGCGAGCCGGGGCGCGGCGGUGGAGGACACAGAGGGGCUUCUGCCUGCCCUCGGAAGGGCGGGCGGCCGGGCGAGUUGGCGCAGCACGGACAGUGGCGGCCAGGGUGCUUCGUCUUCUCCGAUGAUGCUGGAAAGGCCCUGGAAGAGAACACGCCACAGGGCAGAACCCAAAUGCUAGAGCAGCUUGCUCCCGCCCGCCGCCUCAGCCCUGCCUCAGCGAGUCUCCCCGGGCAGGGCCGCUUCGCGCGGUUCGCACUUAAAGGCCUCGGAGGAGACUCCCAAAAUGUCUAAAAAAUUCGGCCGAAUGGCUAGGUCCUUGGGACACUCCCUUCUGAUUUUUUUCCCCCUACAGAGGUGAGGUUGAGCAGCCUUGAAUCUGAGGGAAAUGCCCAUUGUCACUCCCAAAUCCAUGGUACAAAGCCUCGGAAGCCCGGCUGGGAGCCCAGACAAAAGCGGCCGGGGCGCCGGCAGCGGAGGGCAUAUUCCUUGCUCUACAAGUUGCCCAGCUCACCCUUGGAGGGCUCCCGGCCCACCUCCAGCCCCGAAAAGGAAGCGGGUAAAUGGCUAUUUAUGGCCUGAUUGAUUACCUUUGCCAAUAGCUUUCUGAUUUUGUUCCAGAUGGGAUGCCUUUGCCUUGUAGCUCAGGCUUUCCUCGGAUACAUGGCCCGCUAUCAACAGCUAAUGGUAUUCCCCACAUGAUCGGAGAAACGGCUAAAUAAAAAUUACCCUCCUCCUGCCCAACCGGUGUUAAGUCUGGGGCAAAGCUAUUACAACGUUUUCAAUCUAGCAUUGAUUCCAAGCCCUCUCCCCCACCCCCAGGAAAUGGCCCCCUAAAAGAGUUCUGUCUUGGAAUGUUCCUGGUUUUGGGGCGGAAGUUUAAAAUUUUGAAUGCCAGUGUCCCAGAGACUCCCUGGCUGAGGACUUAUAGCACCUAAAUGGAUCGUUCUUAGGGAAACAUUUAAAAGGAAGAAAUGGAAAGGAUGUGUUUUGUAAAACUGCUGGAAGCUAUUUGAAACUGCAGGCAGGACCUCAGGUAACGAAUUUUCUGUUAGCUUUCUCCUGCAAGGCCUCUUCUCCCUUUUCCCCGACAGGACUAGAUAAGUCUGGGCUCUCUAGUGGAGAUCCUGUUGAAGCCGGUGGAAGCUGGUGGGAGUCCCCUGGACCAUGGCAGCGAAUGGAACAUUAGACUUCAUGGGAAGUCAUGUUCAUUUGCAAAAUUUUCAGUCACCCUUUCUGCAUUUUCUUGCAUCCCAGAUGCAGCAGUUCCCACCAGCAUUUUGUAAUUAAAUAGAGGAAAGACUGACUGGGGAAAAUCUUUUCAUUUCUUCCUUUAACAAAAUUUCAUGUGGGCCACUAAAAGGUAAUGACUGAGCAUAAAACCCGUCCACAAGGAGAUCAAGGCGAAGUGGGAUGGGAAAACUCACCCAUCCUCGGCUUCUCUGGGGUCUGGCUGUCUUGCGCUUGGGAUGGGGGUAGGGCUGAGGGAAAGGGGGCAGAAUUGGAUCCGCUGCAGUGCUACACUGCUGUUUGUCCUUGCUCCUGUAAUGGAGGCCGGCAACUUCCAGGUGGGCAAGACUAGCUUCAACCUAGCCCCUGAUGAUUGCUCGCCAGCCAGAAAUCACCAAGAUGCCACUGAAAGCAUUAAAAACAACACAACCAAAACCAAAGAGGAGAAAACACACAAAUGGGAAGCUUUGAGGAGAAAGUGGCUUGGGGUAUAGGCUUACUUACCAGGUUCAGGCCAGAGGAAAGCUCACACCCAUUGAGAGCGCAAUUAUGUUACUAUCACUGGGGACUGGGAAAGGAAAGAGGAGACUCCCCUUCCUCCCAAUUAUGAAAACUUCACUCUCAAGCUAGCUUAUAAUUCCUCUCCCCCAACCACUGCCAAAAUCCAACACCCUAGGCCUCCUCCAGCUUUUCUCCCCCAUCUCCCUUCCCCUACUAGUCUAUCACUCCCCUGCCCAAAUGCCCCAAACAGGGAGUGUAACCAGAAGAUAAUCUCACCAUAGGCUUUCAUUUCCACCAUAACAUAUUUCCAUUUCAGAAAGCAGAGGGAGUGAACUCAUUUCCAGAGUUUAUUGCAUUAUACAUGCGACCAGAACAUGCACAGAAAGGACAGGUUGCUGUU